UCAAGCGUUUAAGAGCAUUUGAUGGAUGCCUUGGCACACAGAGGCGAUGAAGGACGUAGUACGUUGCGAUAAGCUUCGGGGAGUUACGAACAAACUUUGAUCCGAAGAUUUCCGAAUGGGGCAACCCAACUCUUUUGAGUUAUUGCUAACUGAAUACAUAGGUUAGUAAAGCGAACCCAGCGAACUGAAACAUCUAAGUAGCUGGAGGAAAGGAUAUCAACCGAUACUCCGUAAGUAGUGGCGAGCGAAAGCGGAUCAGGCCAGUGGUUUUAAUUGUACAACCAAAAUUACCUGGAAAGGUAAACCGUAGAGAGUGAUAGUCUCGUAUGGGUAAUGACGAUUAAAAUCCUUGAGUAAGACGGGACACGUGAAAUCCUGUCCGAAUAUGGGGGGACCACCCUCCAAGCCUAAGUACUACUGUGUGACCGAUAGUGAACUAGUACCGUGAGGGAAAGGUGAAAAGAACCCCGACGAGGGGAGUGAAAUAGAUCCUGAAAUUGAAUGCUUACAAGCUGUCGAAGCCCGCAAGGGUGACGGCGUACCUUUUGUAUAAUGGGUCAGCGAGUUAGUUUAAGUUGCAAGCUUAAGCCGUGAGGUGUAGGCGUAGCGAAAGCGAGUCUGAAUAGGGCGCUAGUAUCUUGAAUUAAACCCGAAACCGAGUGAUCUAGCCAUGAGCAGGUUGAAGAUAAGGUAAUACUUAUUGGAGGACCGAACCAUUAGACGUUGAAAAGUCUUUGGAUGACUUGUGGUUAGGGGUGAAAGGCCAAUCAAACUCGGAGAUAGCUGGUUCUCCGCGAAAACUAUUUAGGUAGUGCGUCAUAUGAAUACCAUCGGGGGUAAAGCACUGGAUGGGCAAGGGGGAAGAAAUUCUUACUAAGUCCAACCAAACUCUGAAUACCGAUGAGUAAUAUAUGGCAGACAGACUACGGGUGCUAAGGUCCGUGGUCGAGAGGAAAACAGUCCAGACCAACAGCUAAGGUCCCCAAGUUAUUGUUAAGUGGGAAAGGAUGUCGGACGACCAAAACAGCCAGGAGGUUGGCUUAGAAGCAGCCAUCCUUUAAAGAAAGCGUAACAGCUCACUGGUCUAAAUAAGUUGUCCGGCGCCGAAGAUUUAACGGGGCUAAACAAUACACCGAAGCUUUGGACACAAUUUAUUGUGUGGUAGCGGAGCGUUCCGUACGUUGUUGAAGGGAGACUCGUGAGAGCUCCUGGAGAUAUCGGAAGUGAGAAUGCUGACAUGAGUAGCGACAAAAAGUGUGAGAAACACUUUCGCCGAAAAUCCAAGGGUUCCUGCGCAAGGCUAAUCCGCGCAGGGUGAGUCGGCUCCUAAGGCGAGGUCGAAAGACGUAGUCGAUGGGAAACAGGUUAAUAUUCCUGUACCUGAUGAGAUGUGACGGAUGACGUAUAUUGUAUACCCUUAUAAUGAUUGGGUGUGCAGUGAAGUUGUUCCAGGAAAUAGCCUCAUCAUUAAAGACCGUACCCGAAACCGACACAGGUGGAUAGGUAGAGUAUACCAAGGCGCUUGAGAGAACUAUGUUGAAGGAACUCGGCAAAAUACCUCCGUAACUUCGGGAGAAGGAGGACCUAUGUGUGGGCAACCAGAUGUAGGUGGCACAGAAAUGGGGGUAGCAACUGUUUAUUAAAAACACAGGACUCUGCAAAGCCGCAAGGCGAAGUAUAGGGUCUGACGCCUGCCCGGUGCCGGAAGAUUAAAGUGAGUGGUGCAAGCUACGAGCUGAAGUCCCGGUGAACGGCGGCCGUAACUAUAACGGUCCUAAGGUAGCGAAAUUCCUUGUCGGGUAAGUUCCGACCUGCACGAAUGGCGUAAUGAUUUCCCCGCUGUCUCCAGCAUAGACUCAGCGAAAUUGAAUUCUCCGUGAAGAUGCGGAGUACCCGCGGUUAGACGGAAAGACCCCGUGCACCUUUACUAUAGCUUUACAUUGGUGUUAGAAAUUACAUGUGUAGGAUAGGUGGUAGAC
rnacentral:rRNA from 2 species